AAGGAUCACUAGUGAUUAAAUCGAACGCGUCUUCAUUGACCGUUCACCCUUCACAUCCACACACACCUGUGCACCGUUUUGCCUUUGAGCUUGCUCAAAGGUAAUCAUUUUUAUACAAACUCUAGUCUAAUGAAUGUAAACGUUUUAAUAACAUAAUAAAACUUUCAACAACGGAUCUCUUGGUUCUC
rnacentral:misc_RNA from 1 species